CUCUGUUUCAAGGCCGACGACUCAAAGAGUAAUAUUUUUAUAAGAUCCAGUCCUCUGUCUGCUCUACCUCAACACUCCCACCUCCAUGACAGUAAGGCAGACAGGGAGGUACUGUAGAGAGAGAGAGACACGGAAGGAGGCAGGCAGAGACGCAGCGAUGCAGUCGUUGAGGACCUGAGCCCUAGGACCAUGCCUCAGGACUACCUGGUAUGAUGACUCCUUGCUGUCCCCAGUCCACCUGGCCGUGCUGCUGCUCCAGUUUCAACUGUUCUGCCUGCGGCUAUGGAACCCUGACCUGUUCACCGGACGUGCUUGUUGCACCCUCGACAACUACUAUGAUUAUUAUUAUUUGACCAUGCUGGUCAUUUAUGAACAUUUUAACAUUUUAACAUCUUGACUAUGUUCUGUUAUAAUAUCCACCCUGCACAGCCAGAAGAGGACUUGCCACCCCUCAUAGCCUGGUUCCUCUCUAGGUUUCAUCCUAGAUUUUUGGCCUUUCUAGGGAGUUUUUCCUAGGGAGUUUUUUCUAGCCACCGUGCUUCUUUCACAUGCUUUGCUUGCUGUUUGGGGUUUUAGGCUGGGUUUCUGUACAGCACUUUGAGAAUAUCAGCUGAUGUACGAAGGGCUAUAUAAAAAUACAUUUGAAAUUUGAAAGAUCUCGCUGCCUGAAGAGAAACACUGAUGCUAGCCUGGCAAAUAGAUUUUGAAAAAGGUCCCGCUGCUCUCUCUCUCUCUCUCCUCUCCCUCCCUCACGUUUUUCAUUCCUCUUUCUUUUUCUCACGAUUCAUUCUCUUCCUCUUGAGAUGCGUUGUUACCUGACAGCCUUGUAGCGGUGACUAGAUAAUGGCUACGGAUGUGAGACAGAUUCUGUUUACAUGGCCGGUACCAGAGGAUUAGAAUGAUUACCUUGGUGCCAGUGUCAUAAUAAGCCUGGAGAGCCUGUCACACAGUCAAUAGAGGUGGUGAAAGACAUCCUGUACCAGAUUAGAGAGUGUAGAUUAUGGGGUUAUGUUUUCCCUACCCCUCCGAUGAAAGGCUAAUUAGAAGGGGAAAAAAGAGCUGAGAGAGAGAGGGAGGGAGAGAGAGAGAGAGACUGAGAGAGAUUACCUCAUUAUCCACAUAGAGACAUUGGCUGGUCUGUUUGGUAACACUUUACUUAACUGCAGUUAUAAUGCGCUGUAAAACUUGCCAUGAGCAUGUAUGAACUACAAACUAUACUGUUUAAUAAUCAUCUAAUAAAUACAAGCCUUUUGGAAUCAGUUGAAACAGUGAUACCUGAGAAACAUAACGCAAUAUAAGCCUUAUUAUAAGACAUAAAAAAAAUGCAUUUACAUUUUACCUGCAGGCGCUACAGGGGAAUUUCAACCUGGUGGAAUCUGGGCUUGUUUUCAUCAUGUCAGAGCCAUUUUUUGGUCAGUGAGAUGUGUUUCACACAGAAUAGCCCCGGAGGAAGGCAGGUCUGGGAUUCGUGCACUGAAUGAUACACCCUAUGACAGCUUCCGGUGUAUUGAUGGGUGGUGGCGACAUCUGAAAAUAAAUGU
rnacentral:lncRNA from 1 species